GGGAACAAGCUACGCUUUUUUGCAACGAGGACUAUAGGAUACGCCACGAAAUUUUGGUGUUCGAAAGGAGAAUGGGGAUCGAUAACUAAUUGUAGUGUUUCUUUUGCUUUUGCCUGAUGAUGUCCAUGACUGGUUGGCUCAACUUGUAGUGCUGGAACUAUGUUUGUGGUUAAUUUGGCUCAACUUGUAGUCACUACAAGGUUUUGUCUAUCCAAUGGAUCUAAGCAUACCUUACACCUCCCUGCAUAUAGGUGUUAUGAUGCACCUAUAAAAAGAACCCACACUUGGAUAGGUUCAUUUCUCCUUGGAUUUCAACUAUGGGACCCACUACAUCCCACCAGGUUGUGCCUCAAAUUUUUAGUACUAGUGCAAUGUUUCCUCCAUUCUUUUUUUCCUAAACCCUCAAAUAUCUCAGCCUCCUCCUCACUUUCCCC
rnacentral:lncRNA from 1 species